rnacentral:tRNA from 7 species
GCUGGGAUGGCGGAACUGGCAGACGCACUGGACUCAAAAUCCAGCGGUAGCAAUACCAUGCGGGUUCGACUCCCGCUCCCAGCA